CCGGAGAAACUGUUGGUUUUACAGUGGGAAAAGAAACAGCCGGUUUUCCACCAGCGGGAAUGAGCCCGUGGAGGAGAAGGAGGCGAGCCAUUGCCGAGAGGAGAGUGUGAGGGCUGGCCUGGAACUAACUGCUCAGGCGGUUCGCUCAGCCACAGCUCCAAGGGGAGUCUGACCAUAAAUGACUGAAAGAAACCAGUUGGCCUCUGUCUGCCCUGUUACCACAGCUGGUGGUCUUCCACUUCCCCACCGAUCCUGACCCAGCCCUGCCCUUCUCUGUCCUUCACCGGGGAUGGAAGUCCUCACUGCCUGCCAGGUUCACCUGCUGCCUGGCUCCAAAGAGCCACAUUUCAGAAUUUUGUGACUGGCAGCAUCUCACUUCUAAGUGUCAGUGUCUGGUCCAGAUACGUGCUGCUGCAUAAUAAACAACCCCAAACCUCAGCGGCUUAAAA